UUCCUACGGGGCGCAGCAGUGGGGAAUAUUGGGCAAUGGAGGAAACUCUGACCCAGCAACGCCGCGUGAAUGAUGAAGGUCUUCGGAUUGUAAAGUUCUUUUCUAAGGGAAGAAGAAAGUGACGGUACCUUAGGAAUAAGCCUCGGCUAACUACGUGCCAGCAGCCGCGGUAAUACGUAGGAGGCGAGCGUUAUCCGGAAUGACUGGGCGUAAAGGGUGCGUAGGUGGUUUGGCAAGUUAGUAGCGUAACUCCAAGGCUCAACCUUGGAACUACUACUAAAACUGUUGGACUUGAGUGCAGGAGG
rnacentral:rRNA from 1 species